ensembl:lncRNA
AAAAGAGCUGGCUGGGCCACUCUGGACUAUAAGAGUUUGUACUGUCUUCAGUAGUCAUCAACCAAACAACAAAACCUUGGACAACCCACGUCUUCUGGAGAACAGUGCCUGACACCAAGAUGGCUUGGAUGACUCCAUCGUGGUAGCCACCCCUUGCUGACUGGGGGAGGCGUGAAUCUGGAGAUGGAUUCACCUCCCUGUUACCCACUGAGCGGGGCGACGCACCACUGAAAACCACUGCACCACAUCUUGUGUUGGGCUGAUUUUUUUUCUUCAGACUGCAUUUCUGUGAUUCCUUUCAUCCAAUGGUGAUGGUGAUCAGUAAGUCUUCAUAAUCCUGUGGCACUGGAUAGCUUCAGUCAGAAACUGGAACCUUACUAGCUGGGUGAAUGCAAAAAUAAUGCAACAAAAAUACAAAUGUAGAGGACAGUGAGUAGCUUUUGGUUUUCAUUGUUAUCUUUGCUGUUGCUCUUAUCUACCUAUAUUAGGGAACAUUUCAUUAAAGUCCAGAAUUUUAUCUGUCAGCUUUUUCUUCACUAUCAUUGGCAUAAAGUAGCAAAAAGUGGACGGUAUUUUGACUCCAGUAAUCACGACUUGAUAAAUCUGUUAUAGGAUUUCAUUCCUUUGUACUUUUUGCUGAACUGUACUAUAUUUUAAAUAAUUUUCAGAGAAAUAUUUAAGUGUCAUAUCAUGUUUCCUGAUUGGUAUCACGGUCAAAGUAACUUACUAGCUGGCUCUCUUGGUCCCUGAAGUUUGAGAGUGAACAGUUUGCUGUGUACAGUUCUGUAGCAUUCUGCACUGUGUUAAAUGAAUCUCCUUUUCAAGGCUGGGAGCCAUCUCUUCUGCAGAUUGAAUAGCAGUGACCAGGCAGGAGAACAGUAGGAUCUGGAUUUCUUCAUAAGUGACUCUUUGUGCCUUUUUGCUGGUUGCAGAAACAGUUCUCCAGUUUAUCCAAAACAACAAUAUAUUGCCUCUGUGUAAACAAAUAUAAGCACUGGGACUCAUGGCCAGUGAAAAAUUAAAUGAAAUCAGUAGUUACACCACCCUGCUCCAAGCCUGGAUGAAUAAACGUGUUACACCAUUGCCU